AGUUUUUCGUGCCAAAGAGCGUGUUAUGAAGUGUUCUAGAGUAGAAGAAAAUAUAGACUGUGAAAGAAAUAUAAUCACCGGAACUUUUGUUGAUGGUAGAAAAGAUAAAACUUUAAUCUUUAUGGACGAUAAGACCACAGGUACCUUCAGAAAAAAAAUUAUUCAAGAAUGUCAUAUAACUGUCGCUAUCUUAUUCAUUAAACACCAGAGCCUAAAUCUGCAUUAUGUAAACCAGCCAAACAAUGUGCUGCUGGAUUAUUCAACUGGUUAAUGGAAACAUUUAAAGAUCUUAAUCUCCAAUUAAUUGUUAGUGACACUACAAAUGUCUGGGUGGAAAAGUGGAAUGCUUCAUUUUGUGGAGGAACUUAUCAAUCCAAAAGUCUUUAGAUCUUUUUGCUUUUUUUUAAACCAGUUUUCACAGCAAAUUUGGCAUUUAACCCAACUUAAUGCAUUAAGAGUUUCUCCCCUGGAGCUUCCUUUAUAUACGUUGCAUACCCAAAGUUGUGAGAGGACAGUCAAAUUAGUUCUCGAGGCAGCUGAGUCUGUCUGUGAAUAAAAGAAAUGGCUUUGUACAAACUCAAUUGCAAAAUUGAGAAAAAUGCCAGUGAUGAAAUCAAAAAAGACUUUGUUUAAGUGACUAAUGCUAAAAAAAACUGCACUCAAGAUUGGAAAAAACAGAGAAGGACAGUUCAAGGAUACUUACUUGUACAAGAAUUAGGACAGCGAACAUAAAUUAAAUGUUGAUUUAAUUCUGUUCUAACAUUGCAACAUUAGAUUAAUGGUAUUUCAAUGUUAUAUUGAAGUUAUGUGCCUGUUGGGUACAUUCAUUCAGGUGCUCUAGCGAUGGAAUACUAAAAGGAAAUUAUCGAUUAACAACCAUUUAUAGAAAGCUCCCAAGGCUGAAGAUAAAAAAACAUUUUUGUAAAC
rnacentral:lncRNA from 1 species